rfam:Prosthecomicrobium hirschii strain 16 C1, whole genome shotgun sequence.
GAACCAGGCCGGGCCCCUCUGGCGGUUCGUUCGCGAACCGCGAUGUCGGACUGGACAU